GGGCGAGAUAGGGAUGGAGUAAUCCUUGUGAUCUAGCGAAGACUCCUUCAAUCUGUAAAAUCAGUCAAGAAACCGGAUGAGAAUCCUCCAAUUUUUGACCUUCCAAUGCUUAAGUCCAUCCGAACCUGAAAAAUAGAGGUAGAAAAGAGUGGAAGAGCAAGAGAAAUUGAACAGAACUAGAAGAGAACUCAGUAGGAGCCAAGAGUGUGGCUUGACCUCCUAUUGAUAGAGUUUUUCUUAGUUUCUGAGAGUUGGACUUAUCGAUGGAGGAUCCCUGAUCCUUUAUUUAUAGAGAAGAUGAUGAGACCGUAGAGGUUGUUGGG
rnacentral:lncRNA from 1 species